AAAGGAGCGGCGCUACCUGCAGUCGACGGUAGCACAGAGAGCUUGCUCUCGGGUGACGAGUGGCGGACGGGUGAGUAAUGUCUGGGAAACUGCCUGAUGGAGGGGGAUAACUACUGGAAACGGUAGCUAAUACCGCAUAACGUCGCAAGACCAAAGAGGGGGACCUUCGGGCCUCUUGCCAUCAGAUGUGCCCAGAUGGGAUUAGCUAGUAGGUGGGGUAACGGCUCACCUAGGCGACGAUCCCUAGCUGGUCUGAGAGGAUGACCAGCCACACUGGAACUGAGACACGGUCCAGACUCCUACGGGAGGCAGCAGUGGGGAAUAUUGCACAAUGGGCGCAAGCCUGAUGCAGCCAUGCCGCGUGUAUGAAGAAGGCCUUCGGGUUGUAAAGUACUUUCAGCGGGGAGGAAGGUGUUGUGGUUAAUAACCACAGCAAUUGACGUUACCCGCAAAAAAAGCACCGGCUAACUCCUUGCCAGCAGCCGCGGUAAUACGGAGGGUGCAAGCGUUAAUCGGAAUUACUGGGCGUAAAGCGCACGCAGGCGGUCUGUCAAGUCGGAUGUGAAAUCCCCGGGCUUCACCUGGGAACUGGAUUCAAAACUGGCAGGUUGGGAGUCUUGUAAAGGGGGGUAUAAUUCCAGGGGUACCGUGGAAAUGCUUAGAGACCUGGAGGGAAAACCGGUGGCGAAGGCGGCCCCCUGGACAAAAAUUGACCUCUAGUGCUAAACGUGGGGGGCAAAAGGAAUAAAUACCCGGUUAGUCCCCCCGUAAACCAAGUCCAUUUGAAGUUGUGCCCUUGAGGCCGUGGCUUUCGGAAUUAAACUUUAAAACACCGCCUGGGGAGACGGCCGCAGGGUUAACAUUAUAUGUAUUGACGGGGCCCCACUACGGUCAACCUGGGGUUUUAUUAUUGCCCCUUA
rnacentral:rRNA from 1 species